AACUGCUUUUGGGUGGGGAAUUUUCUGGAGUUAUUUCCAGUUGUUGCUCGGAGGAGCUGAGGCUUUUCUCUUGUAUCUUUGCAGGAAAGCAGAGCGGAGGGAGCGUCUGUGGUGGAGAUGCUCAGGUGAAAUUGCCUUCCCUGCACCAGCAGCCUGUUUGUGUCCACAUGAUGCCCAGUGAGGAGAAGCCUGCAGUUCUUGUGACAUACCGGCCUGUCAGAUAAUUCAGCAGGAAGUUGUGCCUUCUUGCGAAGCUGUGGCAGAUCCAGCUCCAGUUCACUCAGCCUCCAGAAAUCUGUGAGCUACUGAGCAAGCAGAACCGGCUCCUUGAAAUUCACCUUUGUGUGGGAACUGCUGAACCACGGCCUGAACCUCGAUGGAGCACCUGAGGUAGCAAUGCCUCAGCCAGGGAGCGCAGUGAAGGCGAUUCGCUGUGCUGCUGGAAGAGGGGGAGCCUGGCUGCACCUCCCCCAGACCCAAUAAGAGCUGACUGCCAGUGGGGAAGGGUCUCCUCUGCAGAUCCCUCCUCUGGAGUUUCUAACGAGCCCAGGAUACGGGUAAGCAUCCCAUCUAUUCUCUUUUGGUCUAACAGCUGCUUAGCUAAACUCUCUGCUAUAUUUCAUAAUUAUAACAUCUGUACAUUCAUUGAUUGUACACUUGGUGAGCCAGGCAGGCCAAAUAUACUAAAAUUUACAUCAUGUCCUUUCUAUGGAAUUUCCAUAAAUGGGUCGGGGGGAGAACAUAACCCCUUGGAUAAAAUGAUCCCGGGCAGAUCCCAGGGUUCCUGGGUUCUCCUUAUUACUAAUUAGCACCAUAGUUGAGAAAUGGGGUCCCCUGCACACUAUGGGGAACAUUUCCCCAUUCUGCAUGAUGAAAUGCUUUCAAGGAUUACAGAGACAUUCUAAGUACUAAAGAAAGGCAGUUAGCUGCCUCCAGUUAAAUGCUUUAAAUCAAGCUGAGAUAAGAGCUGACACCUUAGAAAGUGAAAAUCAACUAUUAAAAGACCAUAUUGAGAAACUGGAACAGGAACUUAAUGUAUUCGCAGGCGAAAGACCAGCUUGACGUUCCCCGAUAGGCCAGGUCUGCAGUAUUUCAGUAGAUAAUAACCACAGCUCUGCAGGAAUGGACCUGGCUGAACAGGAAAACAAAACUUCCAGGUCAGAUUUAGAGGCUCCACUUAUGACAGAUUCCUUGGAACCCCGUCCCAUUAUAACCCAGAGGACAAAGUACAAGGCAGACCGGCGGGGUGCCCCCUGCCCAAUGGCCCCCUGCCCAAACGCAUUCACACAUGACGGCGAGGCCGUGCACCAACAGAACUGAUGGAUGUGCUGCAGCACUUCGGCAGAGGCCAAAGAGUGUGCCUACAUGGUUUAUGGACUAUGGGAUUCAGGAGCAGAAGGUGACAUGGUGAAUGGGCCAGAGGUAUCAAAGCUGGCCACCAUGACGGUAACCCUGCCCUCAGGCAGAGACUGUAUGCUGCUGUUCAUAUAGCAGUGAGAACCAGUCAAUAAUAGACUGGU